UACGUAGGGGGCUAGCGUUGUCCGGAAUCAUUGGGCGUAAAGCGCGUGUAGGCGGCCCGGUAAGUCCGCUGUGAAAGUCGGGGGCUCAACCCUCGGAUGCCGGUGGAUACUGUCGGGCUGGAGUGCGGAAGAGGCGAGUGGAAUUCCUGGUGUAGCGGUGAAAUGCGCAGAUAUCAGGAAGAACACCAAUGGCGAAGGCAGCUCUCUGGGACGGUACUGACGCUGAGACGCGAAAGCGUGGGGAGCGAACAGG
rnacentral:rRNA from 1 species